UACGGAGGGGGCAAGCGUUGUUCGGAGUUACUGGGCGUAAAGGGUGCGUAGGCGGCCGCGCAAGUCUGGUGUGAAAGCCCAGGGCUUAACCCUGGAAGGGCACUGGAAACUGCCUGGCUUGAGUUCCGGAGAGGAGGGGGGAAUUCCCGGUGUAGCGGUGAAAUGCGUAGAUAUCGGGAGGAACGCCGGUGGCGAAGGCGGCUUCCUGGCCCGUUACUGACGCUGAGGCACGAAAGCCAGGGGAGCGAACCGG
rnacentral:rRNA from 1 species